GAAGAAUCAGCACAACCUGUUCCAUCCUGCUCCAUGCCUCACAACCCCAGAGACCUCUUUCAUGUACCUCCCAGUCAUUUCUUCUGUACCUUGAAGAUACCUGUUCUACACGAGCUCAACGAUAGCACUGAGACCAAGGGAGUGAUUUUUCACGGGGCACCAAACACCAUUACAGAUUUCUCUGCUGGCGUAGUUCUUUGCUUCCCUGUCCCUGUGUAUGUCAGAAGAGCACAGGAAGUCACUGGAUCAGACAGACUGGAGGUCUUCGGGUGUCCAAACCCACUCCAAGCUGUGGAAAUCCUCCCCAGGGAUUUCCAAGUUAUGCCUGUGAUUUAUCUAUUGACCUGCGAUGGAGAUUUGCAGGCAACAGAAGUACCUUGAGGACUCUCAGAAGAAGCAAAGUUUCCAUCUCAGCCAGUCUCACCCACUCAAGGGACCUUGCUGGACAAGAGCAGGCUCAGAGCUUCUUGGGGCUGCUUGGAUCUACCCUUGCAAGCCAGUGUGCUCUUCGCUGAGCCAGAGGGCACAUUUUAAGCAAUUUCCCAGUUUUCCAAAAAAUGACCCCAGAUUUAUCACUCUGCUCUGGCCCCAUGGCAGUUGAGGUGGAAAAGAGCCACUUUCUGAUGUGCAGCGGCAGAUGUUCUCCCACUCUUUGCCAGUAUCCCUGGCCUCACUACCCAAACCUCAACCUGUUUCUGUGUAUUUGUUCCACCGAUGCAAGCACCACAAGCACCAGGAUGCAGAAGUUGUCAAGGUUGUUGGUAUCCCAGGAAGUAAGAGAGCUCAGUGCACCCAUGCAAGUGCCAAAGUCCCUAAUAUAUUUUGUUUUGCAUAACAGAGGGGAUUUUGAGUGCUUUGCCCAAAGCUGAGGACACUUCCAGCAGCAUCAAUGCAAUGCUUGGAAAUGGCAUUGGCAUCCUUAUUGAGCUCCCAGCCCCAGUUGUUUGCUUGCUGUGGAAGCAGGCAAGAGAUGUGGCUGAAGUUUCACCUGUUUUUAAGUCAUCUCUGAAUGUCCCCCAUGACCACGACUUAUGCAGGAGGAAAAAAAAAAAAAAAAAAAAAGCAGAAAGGUAACAAAUAUGCCAAACAAAACUUCCAGCAGCAGACACCAGAAGCUACAAUUAAAUCAGUCCUCAUCCCACAGAAGGACACCCAUUUCUGCAAACAAAACUGAAGGUCAAUGGCAGGUGCUGGGGUGGGGACAGGAACAGACCCAAACUUUCUACACCUGCAAUGAAUUGGAAAGGACUUGAGAUUAAGGUCUCCUGUUGUUUGGUGUGGCCUUUUCCCACCCAACUCCAACCCCAAGAGCAAAAAUAAACCAAAACUAAAAGAAAAAGUCA
rnacentral:lncRNA from 1 species